AUUGAACGCUGGCGGCAUGCCUUGCACAUGCAAGUCGAACGGCAGCACGGGGCAACCUGGUGGCGAGUGGCGAACGGGUGAGUAAUGCAUCGGAACGUACCUUUCAGUGGGGGAUAACGUAGCGAAAGUUACGCUAAUACCGCAUAUUCUGUGUGCAGGAAAGCAGGGGAUCGCAAGACCUUGCGCUGAUUGAGCGGCCGAUGUCAGAUUAGCUAGUUGGUGAGGUAAAGGCUCACCAAGGCGACGAUCUGUAGCGGGUCUGAGAGGAUGAUCCGCCACACUGGAACUGAGACACGGUCCAGACUCCUACGGGAGGCAGCAGUGGGGAAUUUUGGACAAUGGGGGCAACCCUGAUCCAGCCAUGCCGCGUGAGUGAAGAAGGCCUUCGGGUUGUAAAGCUCUUUCGGCCGGGAAGAAAUCGCACGGGCUAAUACCCUGUGUGGAUGACGGUACCGGAAUAAGAAGCACCGGCUAACUACGUGCCAGCCGCCGCGGUAAAAC
rnacentral:rRNA from 1 species